CGCCUGCUGUCCCAGUUGCGUUACGUGCCAUGCUACGACCAAUUUCUGGUCAGACACUGACGGUCCCACCAUCCUAAUCAAAUAUGCAUCUGCCCCAAGAAAUUACGCAGUACAUGACUUGCUUUGCCUUCUAAAUUUGGUCAUAGUUUUGACAGUGCCCUCCAUGGAUACUAUUGCGCUUUCUUUCACUGCCUCCUUCCAAGUGAUCUGCUUCCAUUCAUUCUCUAACUACAAUCUUCACCAUCCGCUAGUAGUUGAUGAAGCUGCCAACAGUGUGACAGAUUUUGCCUACGACUAACGGUUUUCAUCUGCUCUAGUAAGGAAUGGCAUUUGGACAAAGCCUGUCUUUAAUUUCUUCCAUGGAACACAAAGCUUUUGUCUUUCCCUUUGUUGAUCAGCAUUUACAUAAGUUCUGAUUAAGGGCCAUAACAGAGGUGCAGUCCCGCGCUCAUCACUGGAAUUUCUACAGCUGACAUUUACUUCUUUUCUCACACUUUUGCUUGUGGAGGAGGGAGGGAGGGGGAGAGAGAGAGAGAGAGUUGAAGAAGGAUCUCCUUUGCAAGCUGUUUUGUGCAUGCGAUAGGUAGCUGUACCGUACGUGAACAAAAGAUGAUCCUUUACAAGGUCUUUAAAAGUUCACAAAGAAAUUGCUUUCACAUAUUAAGCAAAAUCUCAUUUUCAAAAAAAAAAUUUAGCAAGGUGUGAUCAUCAAAACCCAAAUACGGAAAACUUGCUUCUUUUCUGCUGAGUAAAUUGAUUAGUUUCCUUACUGUAGUUGUCCAUAAGCACUUUACGGGAAAAGAAACCUUAGGUACCAGAAAAUAGAAAUGGAAACACUUUAUACACUAAAAGGUCAAAUUCAUUAGAGUUAGCUGUAACCAUUUGUAACAGUUAAACUUCAGCUCGUGCCUUUGCCUUGAUGUCUUGCCCGGUCAAAGAUAAUCGUCUAAUAUGGGAUAGAGGACACACAAAAGGAAUUGGGAAUAGCUUUAUAACUCAAUGGAACGCGUGAAUAUUGUUAAGGAAAGUCAAAAGGAAGCAAAAGUUCCUCCAAUUUUAAGGGUGUAGAUAAUCUGCUGAAAUUUUAAAAGUAACCUCUUUUUUAAAAAAGAAAAAUUCUAAUGUCAAGCUUCUUUCUAACUGUUCUCAUGUAUAGACUUGUCUAUUAGUGGGGAGCCAUGUGUUGUCUUUUUUGGUACAUGAUAAAUAGUUGCUUUGGCUGGGUGCUUCAUUUUUAGUCUGCUUCCAUGAUCCUUUUCUGUUGCGGAGCAUAAAUUCCUAACUGAAUGGACAAAUCAAAGAAAGUAAUGUGACUACAUGCAGUAUUAAGAUUCUGUGCUUAGAAGAGCCAGAGGAUACAGCACCACGAAGAGGAAAUCUGGCAAGAAGCAGGAGGGAGCUUUUUAGUCUUUCAUCUUCAAAAAAUUGUUUAUGGUUGAAGUUCAUAAUCGGCUCAGGUAACUUGCAAACAAAACAAUACUAAGGACAAAUCUAUAUUCUAGAAAGUUCUUAUAAAUGGCACAGAUUAUAUCACAUCAUUGCCGUUCUCGCACUAUGAUACGAAUUAUGUUUCUCUGAAUUUGUACUGAAAUGAUGUAUAUAUAAAUGAUUUCUUAUGUGUAAUAAAUAAUUCAUAAUAAAAUUGCUAUCACUCUCUUCAGGUGUCUCUUCCUAUAAUAUUUGAGAAAGAAUGGAAAAUGCAAAAAAAGAGAGAAAACUAGAGAAGGAAAGAUCAAAAGGAAUCUGGAAAUGAACAUUUCACAGAAAUUGACUAGCAUCUGUUUUCUCUGGAGAGAUUCAGUGCUUUUUGCCGCUUUUUGAUUUCACCAGAUGAGGGAAGACACUCAAAAUGUUGUGGGCUCUCAAGUCUUGCCUGGUCAAUAUUCCCACCACCGGAGAUACCUGCAAAAGGAGCAUGGUAUGAUGUUAGUAAUGCUUUUAUCACUUCUACUGUAAAAUAGCUUUUCCACCUAGACUCUUCCUUAACAAGCUCUGAUGUUACCAUAUGACUUUUUCUGUGUAUCGUUAGCCUAUGAUAGGAGGAAGAUAUUUGCAUAAGAUUAAUAAUUGAAAUAUGCUUAUAAGCUCACCCCUGCUGCUUGGUAUUUGGGUAGGAUGAGCAUGUGGCGGAGCCCCACCUGCCUGAAGAGAACCAUUGCCUUAGCCACUGACAUGCUUUCUACCACAGUAUAAGGGGUUGUGUUAGUCAGGGGAUGCAAGUCAACAUACAUCUCCAUUUCAUCCUUUGUAACUGCCACAUCUUCAAUCUUACCCCACCUCUCAGCUAAAUCAAUCCAGGUGAAUUUCUCUCUCACUUCCCACUCCUCUGUCCUCCGUUUUUCAUGAAGGAACAACUUUUUCUUGAGAACCAGAAGAAGGUGAGUUCUUAGGACAAGACCGUGCAAUUCAGUUGCCCCAACUGGAAGCCCCACUGGUGGUACCACCCCUUCAUCUACGACUGGGAAUCCAUUAUGCGUGGUGUUCUUCAGGACCUCCACGAUACGUCCCACCUUCUCAAUUCCACGAAGUGUAACUACUGGUGGCUUUACAUCAGCAAGUUCACCAACAGUGAUAUUUCUCAUCCAUGGCUCAGGGUUGGCAUCCAGGAAAGGCAGACCUUUCAGUUCCAAUAUUAUUUCAUAAAUACUUAGGUUGAAGCAGUCUCCUACACUUUUAGAAAUUAGAAGAACAAGCAUUGUUAUUGGCAGAAGGAGAAGAUUGUUUGUCAGCUCAAGAAAUAUGACACAAAGAGAAACAGUCAUUCUCAUUGAACCAGCCAUAAGGGAAGCUGCUCCGAGAACGGCAUACAACCCUGGAUCAAUUUUUGUGUAAGGUCCCAUGGCAAUGGCAAGCAAGCGACCAUAAGCUGAACCCAUGAGGAUGAUUGGAAGGAAGAGACCAGAUGGCACAGCAAUCCCAAAAGUGAUGAGUCCCAAGAUGCAAUACAGUGCAAAGUAGAUAAUAAGAGAUGAAACAUGGAAUUCGCCGGGAGUGUUUACGGAGAAAAUAUUUCGGACUGCAUCAUCAUUGGUUGUAAGGAGAAGAGUAGCGAGAUCAUUGUAAUAGCCGUUGGGGCAGUUGAAUUGCUUAAAGUUUCCUGUCCCUCCAGUGCCAGGACAGGACCCUUGAAGUGAUGGAUCACAAGGCUUGCAUUUGGCCAAAAAAGGAAGUCCAUACAUACUAAUGGAGGUGAAAAGGGAAACGCUCAGCGCGAGAAGCAGCUUAUGUAGUUUUCCCUUCCUGCAAGAUAAAAAAUUAUCAAUGUUUAAAAGUUAGGAUUUGGCAUCUAUACAGUUCUUUUUUGGCAGUUAAAUGUGAUAGGAAGACCAUGUUUGAAUAGUCUCAAGAUGGAACAAAGUCUCAAGAUGAUUCUGAUCCCAGUAAGUUCAUUUUUUGUGGA